ensembl:ncRNA K09H11.12 ncRNA
GAUUCUGGUUUUAGGCAAUAGGCCACUGGUCGCACCGUCUCUUGGUGGUAAUGGGGGUAGAUGAAGCAGCGAUGAAAAAAAAAAUGUUGGGCGGAACAGAGGGCGGGGCUUAGGACGAUGAAGCA